rnacentral:tRNA from 1 species
UAAGGCGUCGGUCUCCUAAACCGAAGAUUCAAGGUUCGAGUCCUUGCUGGGUCG